rnacentral:rRNA from 1 species
UACGUAGGGUGCGAGCGUUGUCCGGAAUUAUUGGGCGUAAAGAGCGUGUAGGCGGUUCGGUAAGUCUGCCGUGAAAACCUGGGGCUCAACCCCAGGCGUGCGGUGGAUACUGCCGGGCUAGAGGGUGGUAGAGGCGAGUGGAAUUCCCGGUGUAGCGGUGAAAUGCGCAGAUAUCAGGAGGAACACCAAUUGCGAAGGCAGCUCGCUGGGACGUUACUGACGCUGAGACGCGAAAGCGUGGGGAGCAAACAGG